rnacentral:rRNA from 1 species
UACAGACGGUCCAAACGUUAUUCGGAAUCACUGGGCGUAAAGGGUGCGCAGGCGGCCGAGUGUGUGAGGCGUGAAAGCCCGGGGCUUAACCCCGGAAUUGCACCUCAAACUACACGGCUAGAGCAUUGGAGAGGGUAGCAGAAUUCAUGGUGUAGCAGUGAAAUGCGUAGAUAUCGAGAGGAACACCUGCGGCGAAGGCGGGUUGCUGGGCUGAUACUGACGCUGAGGCGCGAAAGCCAGGGGAGCGAACGGG